UACGUAGGGGGCAAGCGUUGUCCGGAAUCAUUGGGCGUAAAGAGCUCGUAGGCGGUUUGGUAAGUCUGGUGUGAAAUCUCCACGCUCAACGUGGAGGGGCCACCCGAUACUGCCAUGACUGGAGUCCGGUAGAGGAGUGUGGAAUUCCCGGUGUAGCGGUGAAAUGCGCAGAUAUCGGGAGGAACACCCGUAGCGAAGGCGGCACUCUGGGCCGGUACUGACGCUGAGGAGCGAAAGCGUGGGGAGCAAACAGG
rnacentral:rRNA from 1 species